rnacentral:lncRNA from 1 species
GUUAGUCAGAUGCACGCUUUCUCCCAGUGGUAAAAAUAUAAAUACGAUACUCUGGAUAACCUCCCGGGUGAAGUGCUCACCGAUAUCUGUGCACUUGUAGAUCAUUUCUUGAUGGCGUUAACAAAUAUCAACAGUCACUCUUGGUGUGCACAUAAGUGAAGACGCAAACAUAUUAGAGUUACAACUUAAAUUGAUUAACUCAAUAUGGUUUGCUCUUUAAAAUUGUUCAUGGUACCAUUCUCUUAAUCUCAGUCUUAACUAAACAAGUUAAAACAUUAUAUUCAAUCUUGGAAAGAUGAUAGUCAUACUUAUUUAAAAAUUUAUAUAUAGAGAUAGACAAUCCUCCCAUUGCUUACCGCAAUUUCAUUCUUUUCUGUCAUGUGAACUUAAAUGCAACAUUAAAUGCUUAAUCUUUUGAUUUUACCACUCAUAAAUUAAUAAAUCAUGUAACACAACUUUAUCUUGUUUAAUGUGUCUAAGGAUGGAGAAAAAUAAAUAAAGAAAUAGAUUUGGUUCUGUUGGUGUUUUUCCACCAGUAGAGUCCAUGCACUUGAUCUCUACCUUAGUUUUGCAAAUAGAACAAUACAUCAAGCAAAGUUUAUUAAUUCUACAAGUGAAAGCUCUGUGAACAUGCACACUGAGCAAGAUGCUGCCAGCUACUAUUAAAACUCUCCUUCAACCUACUGGCAAAAUCAAAGAACAAAGGUGACAUCAUCAUCACUAGAGGUAUGCAACUAACAAGACUUUCCUCUCUCAAGAUGGAGAGAUACACAAGAGUGGAAGAAGAAGUCCUUCGGUAAAUUUUUAAAAUUUUAUAUUCUUGCCAUAAGGUAAUAUGGUAGUUAUAUAUUUAAUUAGUAUUUCUAUCUACAUUAAUAAAUUUACCUUAACAUAUUCAUCUUCAUAAAUAUUAAAAAUAAAAUAAAAUAAAAUAAAAAUCUUUAUUCCUUCAUUUACUACAUCAUAAAAUAUUUAAAGCCCCACGUGAAUAAAUUUAUGAUAACCAUAUAAGAAUAUUUACUGGGGUGGCAUAAAUAAUAAUAGCUCAUGUAUUUACUUUCUUGCAGUAUGAAAAAAAACCUAAGCCCCAUAAGAAUAAACAUUCUCUGUGGAGGCAUAAAAAUACAACUAUAUAUAUCAUGCACACAUAUUUAAUUUCUAUAUAAUUAAACAAGAAAAUCUUAAAAAAAGAGAAUCCUGCUAGAAUCUAUCAAUUCAAAUCAACUCAAAGAAAAAUCAAUCACUUACUAGCUGACCGCUAACCCAUUAUUAAAUUUGAGCUUCGAGUUUUGGUUUUCUUUUUGGAGUGUAAUUAUGCAGGAACAAUAUUAUGACAAGGAGAGAGUCUAUUAGUGGCACCCACCUGGAACGCUGCCGGUUAGCUCACUCUAAAGAUCAUCAACACCAACUAUUGCAAAAGCUUGGGGGAGGAGCAUCCCCUAGUUAUCAAGUAACUAUACCUAGGCGAUUAUCGAGUGAAAGAUCUAGGCCCA